CAGAUAUUAGUUUUAUUAAAAUUUUAAUUUUGGAGAUUAAAGAUGGGAAUUUCCUAUAUCUGA
rnacentral:tRNA from 1 species